rnacentral:rRNA from 1 species
UACGAAGGGGGCUAGCGUUGCUCGGAAUCACUGGGCGUAAAGCGCACGUAGGCGGAUUUGUUAGUCAGGGGUGAAAUCCCGGGGCUCAACCUCGGAACUGCCUUUGAUACUGCAAAUCUCGAGUCCGGAAGAGGUGGGUGGAAUUCCUAGUGUAGAGGUGAAAUUCGUAGAUAUUAGGAAGAACACCGGUGGCGAAGGCGGCCCACUGGUCCGGUACUGACGCUGAGGUGCGAAAGCGUGGGGAGCAAACAGG